CCUUGCUUAUUUCUCGCUUACCAGCUAAGCCGCUUAGCUCAUGAUCCAAAAUUGAACUACCGCUCCGAUUCUCCUGUACAUGGCCUCUAGGACGCUUCUCGCACAAGCGGAUCAAUUUUUCCGGAUACUCCUCCCCACCGACACCUGCCGUCCGCUCCCAGCGCCCAUCCAUCGCGGCCCCAUCCGCCACCGGCUCUGGCCGCCGCCCUCCACCGGUUCCCUACCCAUAUCCAGCCAGCCUCCUCCCUGCCAAGCAGAUCCCAUCCGCCCGCCUGCUGUUGUUCCUGUAGUUCCUGCCCGCAGGUGCUGGCCCGCAGAUCCCGUGCGCCCCCUGCUGCUGUUCCUGCAGGUGGUGCUUCCGCCAGCUGGUGUUUGUGGAUCUUUUCAUAUUUGUAUCGAUGGUGACGUCAAUGCUUGUUAAUUGCCUGGUCUAGUGGCGUUUGCACAUAUCCUUUGUUUGUGGUUUGUUCUUUCACCUCGUGAGUGAAAAUUUCUGUAUGUUGGUUGGGACUCAGGAAAGAUGAGGAGUUGAGGACUCGCCAAGAUGAAGGUGCUGACCCCUGCUGUUGUUCUCACAGGUGCUGCUUCCGCCGGGUCCCCUUAGGUGUUGCCCCCCCUCCUUCCGCCUGCUGUUGAGAAGGAGCUAUUGCUGAGAAGGAUACCUGUGUGUCAAUUUUUACUGGCGUCAUUUACCGCCCACCAAGAAUAAGAUGGAAAAGUCGUCAAAGCUUGCGGCAAAAUGGGAUUCAUUUGCCGCGAAGGCUUUCAAUGAUAUUUAUGUGGAAGAAUUACUUGCUUUUAAUCGGCCGCGGCAAUAUUUGAACGCGGUGGGAUAUGCAAAUCUUGUUAGAAAGUUUUAUGAGCGUACCAAGAGACCAUACAAUGAAGGGCAAAUGAAGAAAGGUGGGAUAUAUUGAAAAAAAUGUAUACCCAAUGGAAGACUUUGAACUUGAGAGCAACCGGAUUGGGAAGAGAUCCUGUUACUGGUUGUAUUGUAGCUGAUGAUGAAUGGUGGGAAGAACAAAAUGCGGCUACGCAAGGUUGUAACAGGUUCAGAACAGCCCCGCUUGAGUAUGAGGAUCAGAUGCGAAUCAUGUUUGAAUCUGUCAUUGUUACAAAUAAGACUUCAUAUGUUCCAAGUGGUGAUAGCAAUGUUGAUGAACAUGAUGUUGCUGAUGCUGGGGGCAACAGUGAUUGGGAGGCACCUAAGGCCCCAACAAGUUCUGAGCGGAGGGCUGCAAAAAGGCCAGCUCCUAGUUCCCCUAAAGGAAAGAAGAAGAAGACUUUUAGAGACCAGUGCAUGAAGCGUUUGGUCGAUGCAUAUGAGUUGAAAGUUUAAAGUAGUAAACAUUCAGCUACUUCACAAGUUGUUGAUCAUGUUAGAGAUGAGAUUGGAAGUAUGUUGGAUCAGGUCAUCAAGGAUGGAGCUGAGGAGGGGAGUGAUGAACACUUCUAUGCCACACAACUUCUUCAAAAAAAAGGAGAACCGUGAUGUGUUCAUUACAUUGAAAACAUCAAAUGGGAGGUUGAAUUGGUUGAGGAGGGCUUGGGAGAUAAGGAGGAAGCAUUAGGGUCUUGCAUUAGUGUGCCAUUUCUCUUUCAUUUCCCUUAUGUUGUGUGAGAUAUUAUUUUAAUUUCCUAAGUAUGCUUUGUGAGAGACUAUGUACCUUUUAUCAGUUGUGUUGUACUAAUAAAAAUUCAUCUGAUCAUCUGGUUAGUGCUUU